rnacentral:siRNA from 1 species
AGAUUUUGGUGAAGACUUUACAAU